UGCGGGCGCGUGAUUUCCGAAAUCCGAGAUGCCACAGCGAGAUUGCCAAAAUCCUGUGGCUAAUCUAUGGAAUACUCCGGCGGUUCCUUCCAUAUACGGAACUAAUUACUGCACGGUUUAAUUACUCGAUCGCUGAUUUAUCGGAUGAGCUAGUAAUGUGGACGGAUCGCUGAUUUAUUACCAUAUUCGAUAUUUCCCGAGUUAUGGCCUUACCAUACCUGGAUUGAUAGCCUUUGGGGUAAUUUAAAUUUAUUACCAUAUUCAAAAUUUCCUGAGUUAUGACCUUACCAUACCUGGAUUGAUUUAUUACUAUACGUGGAUUAAUUAUAAUUUAUUACUAUAUGAUUUAUUACUAUACGUGGAUAGCCUUACCAUACCUAGUGGUAAUUUAAAUUUAUUACCAUAUUCGAUAUUUCCCGAGUUAUGGCCUUACCAUACCUGGAUUGAUAGCCUUUGACGUAAUUUAAAUUUAUUACCAUAUUUGAUAUUUCCCGAUUUAUGGCCUUACCAUACCUGGAUUGAUAGCCUUUAGGGUAAUUUAAAUUUAUUAUCAUAUUCAAAAUUUCCUGAGUUAUGACCUUACUAUACCUGGAUUGAUUUAUUACUAUACGUGGAUUAAUUAUGAUUUAUUACUAUAUGAUUUAUUACUAUACGUGGAUAGCCUUACCAUACCU
rnacentral:lncRNA from 1 species